CGCACCUUGCGCUUGCUGGUAUUCCGGCAAGCAUACCUGUUUGAGUGUCAUGAACUCUUCAACCCUGCAAUUCCUUGUUUUGAAUUGAGAGGUGUUUGGAUUUUGAACACUUGCUGGCUUUUGAAUUUCAAAAGCGAAGCUUGUUCGUAAUAUAUUAGCAUCUCAAUUUCGAAUUCAAUUCGGUUUGACUCGGCGUAAUAGACUUUACAUUCGCUGAGGACACUUUUCGUAAGUGGCCGAAUUUCGAAGUAGAAGCUUCUAAUUCACUUGUGAAAGUCAAUUUAAGAUUAGACCUCAAAUCAGGCAGGAUUACCCGCUGAACUUAA
rnacentral:misc_RNA from 1 species